GACGAACGCUGGCGGCGUGCCUAAUACAUGCAAGUCGAGCGGACCUCUUCGGAGGUCAGCGGCGGACGGGUGAGUAACACGUGGGCAACCUGCCUGUAAGACUGGGAUAACACCGGGAAACCGGUGCUAAUACCGGAUAAUCCUUCCCCUCACAUGAGGGGAAGCUGAAAGACGGUUUCGGCUGUCACUUACAGAUGGGCCCGCGGCGCAUUAGCUAGUUGGGGGGGUAACGGCCCACCACGGCGACGAUGCGUAGCCGACCUGAGAGGGUGAUCGGCCACACUGGGACUGAGACACGGCCCAGACUGCUACGGGAGGCAGCAGUAGGGGAUCUUCCGCAAUGGACGAAAGUCUGACGGAGCAACGCCGCGGGAGCGAAGAAGGCCUUCUGGUCGUAAAGCUCUGUUGUCAGGGAAGAACACGUACCGGAGUAACUGCCGGUACCUUGACGGUACCUGACCAGAAAGCCACGGCUAACUACGUGCCAGCAGCCGCAGUAAAAC
rnacentral:rRNA from 1 species